CCCUUAGAUGUCCUGGGCCGCACGCGCGCUACACUGAGUGUCUGAGAUACGAGUCUGCCUGGUCCGGCAAGGUCUAGGUAAUCGCUAAAAGACACAUCAUGCUUGGGAUAGAUUAUUGCAAAUAUUAAUCUUGAACGAGGAAUUCCUAGUAAGCGCAAGUCAACAGCUUGCGUUGAUUACGUCCCUGCCCUUUGUACGCACCGCCCGUCGCUACUACUGAUUGGAUGUUUAAGCGAGGUUCUCGAACUGCUAGCGACUUAGCUUCGGUGAGGUCGCAGUGUGGGAAGUGAACCUAGCUUUGGUGUCUAGAGGAAGUAAAAGUCGUAACA
rnacentral:rRNA from 1 species